GGUAGAUGUGUGAUUGUGGAGGAUGGGAAGGUGAUUUCAUCCGGUAGCAACAAGACAAAUGCCACCCGGAAUGUAUGCAUGCUCUUACAUCUUCGGUUAGGAAUAUUUUUGCUCUUAGAUUAUUAUUAUUAUUAUUAUUAUUAUUAUUAUUAUUAUUAUUAUUAUUAUUAUUAUUAUUAUUAUUAUUAUUAUUAUUAUUAUUAUUAUUAUUAUUAUUAUUAUUAUUAUUAUUAUUAUUAUUAUUAUUAUUAUUAUUAUUAUUAUUAUUAUUAUUAUUAUUAUUAUUAUUUCUUUUGAACGAACCAGCAUUAAACAUGCCAAUUUCAUUAAAUAGAGCAGGAGUAAAAAUUUUGUACAGGUGUAAAAGAAAACCUGUAAUUGAUACCAACUGCAUUUACAUGUAAAAGAUUUUUUUUUGCUCUUAGAUUAAAGCUGUAAUUUGAUUGUGCCUGUACCGAUU
rnacentral:lncRNA from 1 species